AUUGAACGCUGGCGGCAUGCUUUACACAUGCAAGUCGAACGGUAACAGCACUUCGGUGGCUGACGAGUGGCGAACGGGUGAGUAAUACAUCGGAACGUGCCUAGUAGUGGGGGAUAACUACUCGAAAGAGUAGCUAAUACCGCAUGAGAUCUAAGGAUGAAAGCAGGGGACCUUCGGGCCUUGCGCUACUAGAGCGGCUGAUGGCAGAUUAGGUAGUUGGUGGGAUAAAAGCUUACCAAGCCGACGAUCUGUAGCUGGUCUGAGAGGACGACCAGCCACACUGGGACUGAGCCACGGCCCAGACUCCUACGGGAGGCAGCAGUGGGGAAUUUUGGACAAUGGGCGCAAGCCUGAUCCAGCAAUGCCGCGUGCAGGAUGAAGGCCUUCGGGUUGUAAACUGCUUUUGUACGGAACGAAAAGCCCUCUUCUAAUACAGGAGGGUCAUGACGGUACCGUAAGAAUAAGCACCGGCUAACUACGUG
rnacentral:rRNA from 1 species